rnacentral:tRNA from 5 species
GCUGGUGUAGCUCAGGGGUAGAGCAGCUGAUUUGUAAUCAGCCGGUCGCGGGUUCAAAUCCCAUCACCAGCU